UUUAUGUAUUUUUUUAAAUUGCUGUGUACUACUGUAUUUGCCGUAAUGACCUCUUUGGCAGAAUUCUAUUGAGGUUGCUUUAUUUUCCCCAUUUCUCACAUUUGGAUUGACAAGAUUUGACUUACACCAUGUCUACAACCCCGCAACAGCUUGGGACCUAUGCUUGAGACUGACUACACUGGAUGUUACAUCACUUGUAAUGAUUGGAAAAUCCAUUUGUCCUUCAUGUCAGAAACAGCGCGAACACUUGGAGUACGUCUCUACUUCAGAAAUAUACCGGGGCAUCACUUUACUGUCCGCAUCCACUGUAGAUAGUAUAAUGGGUUCUAUAUUGUAUUUUGUCGAGUCGCGCUGCGCUUCUCACGUCUGAAGCGGGAUUUAUACUUUCGCCUGGCUCCGCUUCGCGAGCCUCCAAUGACUGCGGAAGGAUACAUGGAAGCAUCCAUGUCUUCAGGUCUUCAGGUUUUGCCCGGGGAUGAACCCACAAGAGUGGAAGUGUUCCAGAGAACAUCUGCGCUGUGUGUUGAUGCACUUUACGAGAGAAUAAGACCAGUAAGCAAGGCAACUGCAAUGAAGCAUUAAGAAAAACAUGAGCAGGCUAGCCACCCUGAGACUGAUAAUUCAUGAGAAGACAUUUCUGUCCCUAACGAGGUGGAUGGUGAGCAAAGGUGGUGGCCACAUUUUGGAGCAGCACCUGGGUUUUGCAGAUGGCUAUGUAUACUUUGGCUGCUUAUCUUUUUUCCCCAUUAUGUUUCUGUUGCUUAAAGAUUCUUUGUUAGGAUAAAUCCAUAAAAUCCACAUAAUGCAAUGCAAAAUGUCCUACGACAGGAGAAAUGAAGAUGCACUGUUCCAGCAUUGGAAGACUGUAUUAUAAGUGUUAUACAUGCAAUGUUUUAAAUAAAGAAUUUGAU